GUCUAUUAACUUCAAGACUUCUUUUAACACCAACUUAACAUUUGCACCGCAGUUCUCUGCAGAGCUGCCUGGUCUGUAGCACUUAAAGAAAAAAAAGUUCACAGGAAAUCAGUGUUCAUAGUAUAUGAAGUUAUAAUUGUAUCAGAAAUUAUAAUAUUCAGAUGAUAGCCUAAAAAAUUAUACUAGCCUGAAAAAUAAACAGUAGCAUUCCUGGCAAGUCUUAAUGAAAGGAAAGUGAGGAACCUGAGACAAGUGAACAAAAAAUAAAAGAGGGAGACCAGGCAGAGAUCCAUACACACAAGAGUUUAUUUGUCAGAGCUGACAAAUAAAGGCCAUCUCUCCAUAGACAGAGAGUGGCAAAACCGGCUUGGGGUUUGGGACUUCUAUGGGGGCAGGCUCAGGGAUUGGGGGCUGUGUGUGUGUGAAGGGUUGGGUUGCUAUGAAGGAGUGGUAAGACUUUCUCAGAAAUGUUCUUGGGUGGGGAAAGCAGAAUUUUUCUUAAAAUGGCAGCUGUCACUUAAUAUGGCCAUCCAGAUGCUAAGCAAGGACCUUACACUUACUACAUAUUAUUUUAAGAGGACUUUUGGUUUCCUCUUUAUGUACAUAUUACCAAGUGUUCACACAUGGAGUUCCUCACCUUCCACCUAUUUUUUCUUCCUUCCCAUUUGGUAUUCUUAACUAAGCAGUCAGGUGUUUUUGCCAUCAAUUAAAUUUAAGAACAAUACAAACAGGACCUGGAAGUAAAUCUGUGAAAUUUUUUUCUUCAAAAAUCUUCUAUACCGGGGCUGGGGAUGUGGCUCAAGAGGUAGCGCACUCGCCUGGCAUGCGUGCGGCCCGGUUUCGAUCCUCAGCACCACAUACAAACAAAGAUGUUGUGUCUGCCAAAAAAUAAAAAAUAAAUAUCAAAAAUUAAAAAAAAAAAAUCUUCU
rnacentral:lncRNA from 1 species